rnacentral:rRNA from 1 species
UGGGGAAUUUUGGACAAUGGGCGAAAGCCUGAUCCAGCAAUGCCGCGUGUGUGAAGAAGGCCUUCGGGUUGUAAAGCACUUUUGUCCGGAAAGAAAUCCUUGGCUCUAAUACAGUCGGGGGAUGACGGUACCGGAAGAAUAAGCACCGGCUAACUACGUGCCAGCAGCCGCGGUAAUACGUAGGGUGCAAGCGUUAAUCGGAAUUACUGGGCGUAAAGCGUGCGCAGGCGGUUUGCUAAGACCGAUGUGAAAUCCCCGGGCUCAACCUGGGAACUGCAUUGGUGACUGGCAGGCUAGAGUAUGGCAGAGGGGGUAGAAUUCCACGUGUAGCAGUGAAAUGCGUAGAGAUGUGGAGGAAUACCGAUGGCGAAGGCAGCCCCCUGGCCAAUACUGACGCUCAUGCACGAAAGCGUGGGGAGCAAACAGGAUUAGAUACCCUGGUAGUCCACGCCCUAAACGAUGUCAACUAGUUGUUGGGGAUUCAUUCCUUAGUAACGUAGCUAACGCGUGAAGUUGACCGCCUGGGGAGUACGGUCGCAAGAUUAAAACUCAAAGGAAUUGACGGGGUCAUAGCUGUUUCCU